CGUAUUUAAGUUGUUGUGGUUAAAAGCUCGUAGUUGAACCUUGGGCCUGGCUGGUGGUCCGCCUCACCGCGUGUACUGGUCCGGCCGGGCCUUUCCCUCUGUGGAACCCCAUGCCCUUCACUGGGUGUGGCGGGGAAACAGGACUUUUACUGUGAAAAAAUUAGAGUGCUCCAGGCAGGCCUAUGCUCGAAUACAUUAGCAUGGAAUAAUAGAAUAGGACGUGUGGUUCUAUUUUGUUGGUUUCUAGGACCGCCGUAAUGAUUAAUAGGGACAGUCGGGGGCAUCAGUAUUCAAUUGUCAGAGGUGAAAUUCUUGGAUUUAUUGAAGACUAACUACUGCGAAAGCAUUUGCCAAGGAUGUUUUCAUUAAUCAGGAACGAAAGUUAGGGGAUCGAAGACGAUCAGAUACCGUCGUAGUCUUAACCAUAAACUAUGCCGACUAGGGAUCGGACGGUGUUAUUUUUUGACCCGUUCGGCACCUUACGAGAAAUCAAAGUGCUUGGGCUCCAGGGGGAGUAUGGUCGCAAGGCUGAAACUUAAAGAAAUUGACGGAAGGGCACCACCAGGGGUGGAGCCUGCGGCUUAAUUUGACUCAACACGGGGAAACUCACCAGGUCCAGACACAAUGAGGAUUGACAGAUUGAGAGCUCUUUCUUGAUUUUGUGGGUGGUGGUGCAUGGCCGUUCUCAGUUGGUGGAGUGAUUUGUCUGCUUAAUUGCGAUAACGAACGAGAACUUAACCUGCU
rnacentral:rRNA from 1 species